GACGAACGCUGGCGGCGUGCUUAACACAUGCAAGUCGAACGGAAAGGCCCUGCUUUUGUGGGGUGCUCGAGUGGCGAACGGGUGAGUAACACGUGAGUAACCUGCCCUUGACUUUGGGAUAACUUCAGGAAACUGGGGCUAAUACCGGAUAGGAGCUCCUGCUGCAUGGUGGGGGUUGAAAAGUUUCGGCGGUUGGGGAUGGACUCGCGGCUUAUCAGCUUGUUGGUGGGGUAGUGGCUUACCAAGGCUUUGACGGGUAGCCGGCCUGAGAGGGUGACCGGCCACAUUGGGACUGAGAUACGGCCCAGACUCCUACGGGAGGCAGCAGUGGGGAAUAUUGCACAAUGGGCGGAAGCCUGAUGCAGCAACGCCGCGUGCGGGAUGACGGCCUUCGGGUUGUAAACCGCUUUCGCCUGUGACGAAGCGUGAGUGACGGUAAUGGGGAAAGAAGCACCGGCUAACUACGU
rnacentral:rRNA from 1 species